rnacentral:rRNA from 1 species
UACGUAGGGUGCAAGCGUUGCCCGGAAUUAUUGGGCGUAAAGAGCUCGUAGGCGGUCUGUUGCGUCGGCUGUGAAAACCCGGGGCUCAACUCCGGGCCUGCAGCCGAUACGGGCAGACUAGAGUUCGGCAGGGGAGACUGGAAUUCCUGGUGUAGCGGUGAAAUGCGCAGAUAUCAGGAGGAACACCGGUGGCGAAGGCGGGUCUCUGGGCCGAUACUGACGCUGAGGAGCGAAAGCGUGGGGAGCGAACAGG